rnacentral:rRNA from 1 species
GAUGAACGCUGGCGGCGUGCCUAAUACAUGCAAGUCGAGCGAACAGACGAGGAGCUUGCUCCUCUGACGUUAGCGGCGGACGGGUGAGUAACACGUGGAUAACCUACCUAUAAGACUGGGAUAACUUCGGGAAACCGGAGCUAAUACCGGAUAAUAUAUUGAACCGCAUGGUUCAAUAGUGAAAGACGGUUUUGCUGUCACUUAUAGAUGGAUCUGCGCCGCAUUAGCUAGUUGGUAAGGUAACGGCUUACCAAGGCAACGAUGCGUAGCCGACCUGAGAGGGUGAUCGGCCACACUGGAACUGAGACACGGUCCAGACUCCUACGGGAGGCAGCAGUAGGGAAUCUUCCGCAAUGGGCGAAAGCCUGACGGAGCAACGCCGCGUGAGUGAUGAAGGUCUUCGGAUCGUAAAACUCUGUUAUUAGGGAAGAACAAAUGUGUAAGUAACUAUGCAUGUCUUGACGGUACCUAAUCAGAAAGCCACGGCUAACUACGUG